UCCAUCCCUCCCGCUAUCCGCCCCGGUCCUAGACCCCGCAGCAAAACACUUCCUGCUUCACCGAAAGCCUCGGUCACGUGAUUUGAACGAGGCGGGCGCCCGGACGGCGUCUCCAGAGGGACUAAAUUCAGCGCGGAGCUGCGUCUGCGUUCUUUACGCUUCUCGAGUGUUGGCGUUACAGGUGUGUGCCACCACGCCUAGCAGUUAUUUAUGGGCUCUGGAGGCUAAAGCCAGAUCUUCAUGUGAGCCAGUGAAACAGGUUCUUCGCGGCUCAUGGUACUCACUCUUGUUCUUCAGGCUAAGGUGCCCUGGGAUAUGCUGAGGGGAGCCUAAGAAUUCACAAGGUUGAUCUCAGAAAAGACAAGCUUUGUAAAUCUCCAAGGAGAAGUGACCCUCACCCUAACUCCCAUCACACUUGGCUUUACUGAUAAAGCACAGGGUUUGAGAGUUGGUUUUUGUUUUUUACAGUGUGGUUCUCCUACAAACAUAAAAAGGACACCUGCCAAGGACUAAGGAGCUGACGAAGGCCUCAGUAAGACGGUAGAGGUGGUUUGAAGUGCAUUUGAGGGAGCUAGGCGCUUAUAGGCAUUUAAAAGGAAAUUAUAGCCAUUAAUUUCCAGCCCCCAAACAAAACUGGUUGCCCUUGCAUAUGUAAUUGAUUGUUUUUGACGAGAAUACCGAGGUGAUCAGUGGAAAAGCCAGUCUUUUCACCGUAUUGUUGGGGAGUUGUCUCCAUGUGCAAUAGA